UGACGCCUGCACUGUUAGUUGUCUAGUAGACGACGUGGUGUUGCAACUCUUAUAGAAGUCCAUAUUUUUCUGUAUCCAAGACUGGACGGGAUGGAAGCAAAGAGGCUGCCUGAGGGAUACACAAGGCAGAAACCAAUGGCUGCAAGACCAGAGAUGCAGAACCCUCCAAAGAGGGGUAAGAAGCACGUUGUGAUGUGUCCCAGUCUAAUUUCUGCUGUGCAGCCUGUUCCUGUGGGUGAUCAUCGUGUGGUCUGGAAAGAAUCACACGCACUAAGGACGGCAGGUGGUCUGAAGGGGUCACAGAAGGGUGUUGUCCUCUGGUGCCACAGACAGUGAGGCACUUGUCCCUGUGACUGGUGGAGCUCAUGCCCCUUCUCUGACGGUGACCCUCCCACCGCCUCUAGCAUCCCCCUGUCUGAAGAGCCUGGAAAGGAUGACAGGACUUGGGCCUCAUCCUUCUUCCCACCCGGACUCAAUGCGAAGACUUUAGUUUAUUUGAGGAGAAGGUCAUUUAUUCACUAUUUUUAACGGUCUUUAUUUUUGUGUGUUUUUGGGAACUGUAGCCCUGCAUCCCUCAAUUCAAAUUCCAUAGAGCUUAGCUUCGUCCUCUGAUGGUAUCAGUGCAACCCUGAAGCUUCACUGCUAACUUCUCAUAGUUCUCCUUUUCUCAAUAGUGUAAAAUUAGUCUUUUGUUAUAUAAUAACUGCUCUCAUGUGGAAGGCAGCUUGUAGAUAAGCUGAGAGAUUGAACAAUUCGCCUGAAGUCUGAGGAAACACACCCUUCUUGAGGAUUCAUUGAGGAUAUACACCAAACCAGUAUUCUCAACUUUAUUCUUUUUUUUUUUAGGUUUAUUUAUUUUGAUAGAGACAUAGUAUGUCUGGGAGGCAUAGAGUGAGAGGCAGAGACAGAAUCCCAAGCAGGAUCCACACUGUUAGUGAGGAACCCAAUGCUGGGUUCGAAUUCACAAGCUGUGAGAUCAUGACCUGAGCCAAAAUCAAGAGUCGUGUGCUUAACCCAAGCAUUAGCAUUGAGCCACCCAAACGUGCUCAUAUUUAUUCUUAAUCUGUAAUGAAAUGGUGAUUCCCAUGAUGUAUACUGAGAAACCUCUGUUUUACUGAUGAAUUCUAAAUUGCUAGUUGAGCCUGACCUGUCCAUAGUUAUUUGAUUAAUUAUGAAACAACAUGGACCAGGACACCGUGAGGUCUUUAUCAAGGUGAGGGGAUGGUUCUCCCCCUUAUCCUUGGGGGUCACUCAAGGCAUGUGGGAUACCCUCUGCCUCUGGUCAGGGACCUGAGUGUAGGGAAAAGAUUAAGAUAUUUGAGGAAUGAGUUGAGGGAUUGUUUUCAUUCCACACAGUCCUCUAAAAGCAGAAUAAACCUCUGUCCCUUCUAGGGUCUUUAGUAGAUCGAGGAACUGCUGAAACCUCUGAGUUAGAGCAGCUCUGACUGUACCAAGAAUGCAGACAAGGACAAGGUAAAUGCUGGGGCCAUUCUCAGUUGUAACUCUUCUGGGAAACUCUCAUCUUUAUGUACAGCACGCUCUCCUGGCCUUGUCUCAUUUUGCGUGUUGUGUGAUAUGUCUGUUUUCCAAACGCACGCUCAUAACCCAGGAGCCCACAGGCUUCUCAAUUUUUAGUCUGUCAGCUUUCUGCAGUGAGUUUAGAAGCCAAAAGUGCUCAGAGAUGGAGUACCUUAAGGUUUUUCUGUGAGUUUCAGGAAAUAAUGAGAGGAGGAUGAGUGCACACUCCAAACAGAUGUCUCCCGGCCUGGGUGACCCCUUCCAGACCUCACCUCUGUGGGAACAGUGUGGCUGCUGUGAAUCUUCCUUUCUUGAUUCUGGCUAGGAGAUGAACCUGUUAGAAACGACAUCGUGACUCCAACUUUAUAUUUUGUGCCCUGUGCCAUUUAGAGUGGUCCUAGAUAAAGUCAGUGUCAUCACUCAUCACCUUCCCGUCUUUGUUGGUAAAUGAGUUGUCUGGAAUCCUUCCAGCUAUACCUUAGGUAAAACUAGUUUGAACACCGUGUCCUUCAGUUGUGUUUCUAUGAGCAGUUUCUGGUUGUGUCCCCAGUCACUGUUAGAGCUGAUACAGUCUCAUGACACAUACCAGGAGUUUUAUACCAGAACACUUGCAUGAAAUCUGUUAUGUGAAUUUCUCCUCUUUUUUUCUGUUGCACAUAAUUACUGUGUCCUGUAGUAUGCUUAAAGUCAGAAUUCCCUAUGAAUUAAGAUGAACACAUCUGAGCUUUGUAGACCUUCACCACAAGUAACUUGUUCCUCACAGAAGACUCUCAUUCCUCUGCAAGAUUCCAGGCAUCCUCCACUCCCCAGAGGUCUCAGAGGCCUUUGACAACACUUCCAGAGGGAAGACUCCUUUCUCAGGGAGAGGAGCAGAGGAGGCACAGCGAGGGUCCGGCUGCAGAACGUUUUGCCAGGAGUGGCUGUGAUUCCAUGAGCAGAAUAUGAGCCAUGUAUUCCCACUCAUUUUUUUGUGUUCUGAAUAUACCAAAAGCAGAGCAUCUGGAGUCGCCGUAGAGGAGGGAUGCAGCGUGAACCUAGACAUCGAUGGCUGCCUGUCUGGAGAAUCCAACUUCAUUAGUCUGUAAUUAUUUCUGUUAACCCUCUAGGACAGGACCCUUGCCAGUUUACUUCCGCAGACAUGGGCAGUGAUGUGUGGUGGCAUCCAGUGGCAGGGACAGAGUUUUCAGGUACUGAUGCUACACUCUUGGAUCCUGGUGGCAGAGAAGGUGGCAGGUGCUGACACAUUCUUCUCUGGGUUACAUUGGUUCUCUUGUCUGGCAUAUGGAUGUAGCUGUGACUUCUGUUCUGCAGGGCAGUCUGGAUCCUGGGGACCUCCUCCGUUAACUGGACGAUUCUGCAUGCCCUACCCUGGAGACGCCCCGCCCCCAUGGACUAUUAGGCAUGUCCACCUCCUGAACCUUAGUGGCCCUGAGGCCACCCAGAACCCCUCCACCUGCAACACUUGGUAAGAUGAUCUGAGCACUAGGAGUUGACUUGUAAAACACACUCACCUUAUUUUUGUUGCUGUUAGGUCUUGGGCCAAGGUGCAGAGGAGGUACCACAGACCAUUGUGAUGCAAGGGGAAUGUCUGCUGCCAUUACCACAUUCCUCAAGUUUCUCAGGAUCUCAUCUUUGUCAUUUCCCCCUCACGGGGCUCUUUGCAGGUCCAGGAGCAGGUGUCACACCCAAGAGUGACAUCGACACUGGCUCUGCCAAAACUGCCGAGAAACACAAGGCUAUUAUGUAUUCAAGAGGGCCUGGUCCUUUCCCAGGAUCGCCUUGCAAGCUGUUCCCCAUGGACCACCCUUCACCACCAGUCAUGGGCUAUAGGCCACGUCCCCCUCCACCACCAGCUCCUCCACCUCCUCUAUUUGUUAAGAUGACCUGAACCGAAUGAGAGGCUGGUAAAGUAUAUUUAUCUUCUUCACGAUUGACUUUGUGGGAAUGAUGUAGAGAUGGCUGUGAGUCUUGGCAAUGCAACUACCAACUGCCUGAGGACACUGUAGCAUAUCUCAAGUUUCUCAGGACAUACACACAAUGGGCAGUGUCAUUUCCCUGUAAUACAGUGAGCUAUACAUUUCUCUUGUCAAAUGAAAGAGGAUUUUUUACACAAAAGCAGACGUAUCAGCAGCACUGGUGCAUAUUUUGGAGACACAAUGUUUUGGGUUCUGUAAAGAAUGAGGCGCACCCCUAACUUUUAGAGCAUCAGGUGUCCUGUGUGAAAGAGGGACAUGCAUUAAAUGACGCAGACCUUGUGAUCACCAACAUGGAAACACCAGUGAGGAUCCAGGGCAAAACCGGGGGAGCCUUGAAUCAUACAGGAAUAGAAGGGAAGUUGAGCACAGUAAGCAGAGUUUGAGGAGGUGCAGAGGGGAGGGUGUUGGGGUUAGUGAGAUGCAGUUGGAGGUCAUUCCUGGCCACAGCCUGAGCAGGGAGUGUGAGGUCCACACAGAGCUGCUAUGUGGGGUCGCUCUCAGUGCACAAUGCAGUGUUCAUCUCCAAAAUGUCAGUGUGUUGCCAAAGUGCACGCAGGUAAUCAUUUAAAAAGAUUGUCUCUCUGGGUAUUUGUGGGGGAAAAAAAGCCCUGGAGAUAUGGGGAAUUUAACUUGGUGUUAUGAAAAUGCUGUAUGCCCAAGUUCCUAUCCCUCAGUGAGACUAAAAGUGGAGACAGGAUCUAGAUCAGCUGAGUGCCUGCAUUGGCCUUCAGCCUGAGUCAGACUCAGGCCCACUUAGUGGGUCAACCUACAAUUCAGGGUUGGCCAGAAGCUGCCCCCGCUGGACCCCUGUCAUCUCCUCAGACUUCUCUCACAAUAUCCUGAGGCUUUGCCUGUGUUCCUGCUGUCUCAGCCCUAAUACCGGUUCUCAGUGGGACCUACACAGAGCCUCAGCUGUGUUUUCUGUGAAAACAGGGGUAAUAUUUGUUUUUAAGAACAUUUUAAAAAGAAGACAUUAUAUACAUAAAGCAUCUGCAAAAUCUCUGGGAAGUGUCCACUCACCCUUCUCACAGUUUCAAUUGAGAUAUCUCCACACAAAGAUCCUCCAAAAAAGAUGGUCACGGGAGUUCACUAAACUAAGACUGUUAACAACUCAGCCCAGGGAUUGGGAAUCACGGUUUUAAGCAAUAAGGUAAGGUCCCUUGUUUUUCUAUUAAAAUUCGGGCCCUGCCAGACAAAGAAAGAAAAGAUAAUUAUGAGCCUGUGUACAUUCAGAGAUCCAGAUCUGAAGACAAUCAUUUUCCAUUACAUAUAAUCUCACAGAUGCAGCCACACACUCAAGUGUUCAUCUGAGGUCACAGCCACAGAUAAACUACAGAAGACAGAAUGCAUGUAGGAAGACAUAAGAUCAGAGGGAAAUACCCAAAAUCUCUUUGCCUUAUAGGACAACUCUUUUGAAAUUUGAAGAGGACUGUGCACGGUGAGAGACUAUGGUGUUGUGUUUGUAUAUACAUUUUAAGAAGGUGUCAGAUCUGCCUGAAUGCUUUCCCUGCCCAUCCCGUCCCCUCCACUUUGUCCUUCCUACUGUCCCCUAACCCACCUUUCAUCGUUUUCUGUGUCGGCGUCUGCUUCUAGACCCAUCUACUCUCACUCCCCGAGUGCACACAGUGGGGUUCCUGUCCACACAGGUAACAAACUGGCAGAAAUAGAGGAUAGAAGAUCACCCUUUGUGCAGGGGAGCCCGAGGGAGUUUUCUGGGGUGAUGGGACCUUCCUAUAUCUAGACUGAUGGGGUGCUUAUGCUCAUUUAUUUAGAAAUAUUCACUGACUCCCUGGUGCCUUGGGGUCAGAUAGACAGGUAUCUGUCCCUGGGAAAUGGCGGAGUUCUAAUGGUGGGGAAGGAUGAGGGACCAGCAGUGACUGUGGGAGAGGAGUGAGGAGGCCACAAUGGAGUCAGACCCUAACCCAGGAUGCCAGGUCUCCACAGACAGCACCACGUGUAGGAGGGCUCUGAGGAGCAGAGAUUUCUGGAUCAGACCUGUGAACUACAUAAUCCUCCUGCAGUUUCCUCACUGAGGGAUGGACAGGGUAGAGGCCAGCAGCUGGAGGACACCCUGAUCAUGGCUGGAUUGGAGCAGGGGACCUGGGGGAUUGAGUCAGAGAAAGGGACAGGCAGAAGGUAGCAACAGGGAGUUUGAGAGACAAAGGGAAGGGAAGAGAAGGGACCUUUCUCUGCUGACUUCACCUACAUUUCUGUGUGACCAAAAGGAGACUCUUGUCUCCAAGGGUAGGGAAGAGGGCUGGCAAAAAGAGUGACAUUCUCAGCUCAAGUGCCCAGGAUAUCUGCCUUGCUCUUGAGUACCUAACACAGGAAGCCCAUGCUUUCUGUCAUGGUUGGAACUGCAGCUCAUACCAUUUAGUGAAAAUCAAUCCAAUUAUGAAUCCCUCAACAUUAAAGUACUGAAAGAAAAUUAAGUGAACAGACUGAAAGAUACAGCACAGGAUAAAGUCCAAAGGUACACUGACUGCAAUACUUACAGGAAUAUAGUCUAUCAGAAAAGAAGUUAGGUACCCUAGUGCAGUCAUUCAGACACCUGGGCAAUAUCUGAAAACGUAAAAAAAAAAAAAAAAAAAAAAAGUAGUCCUUACUUCAAAAGCAACAUUAGCA